rnacentral:rRNA from 1 species
AUGUACAAGAGAUUGCUAUCUGGUAUGGAGUCUCGAGGCAUAAGGCCUGAGAUCAUCACUGGUUCUUUGUCAUACUAUGCGCAGAAGUAUAUCCUAGGACACAGUAGGUACAUCAACAUGGGAACAGUGCCCCUGGCUGGUACUCUUUCUGAUGUAGAAGAGAAGAACUUACUUGAGGAGAUCGAUAGACUAUUGCCAGUUCAAAAGGGUUUGGUACCUAUGAAACUUUCGUCCGCGGACAUGAUUCUUGAGCACUUUUUGGCAAUGGACCAAGCCAACGGCGGUUGCUCCCCGUGCAUGGAUGAUAUGAUACCAAUCACUGGUCUUGCACCGCAUGUCAAUCUGAAACCUCCGAAAUUCCAAGCAUGUGCUUUACCAUACUCUAUAGCUCAACUUGUUACCGGUUCAGUCUCUUGCUUCAGAGUUUGUACUAGUAGCUCACACGUUCCCAACAGUUUUGUACACCGGCCGCGAACAAUUAACCCCAUAGUCAUAAUACAGCCCACCUAA